rnacentral:rRNA from 1 species
AUUGAACGCUGGCGGCAUGCCUUACACAUGCAAGUCGAACGGCAGCGGACCUUCGGGUGCCGGCGAGUGGCGAACGGGUGAGUAAUAUAUCGGAACGUACCUUUCAGUGGGGGAUAACGUAGCGAAAGUUACGCUAAUACCGCAUAUUCUGUGAGCAGGAAAGCAGGGGAUCGCAAGACCUUGCGCUGAUUGAGCGGCCGAUAUCAGAUUAGCUAGUUGGUGAGGUAAAGGCUCACCAAGGCGACGAUCUGUAGCGGGUCUGAGAGGAUGAUCCGCCACACUGGAACUGAGACACGGUCCAGACUCCUACGGGAGGCAGCAGUGGGGAAUUUUGGACAAUGGGCGCAAGCCUGAUCCAGCCAUGCCGCGUGAGUGAAGAAGGCCUCGGUUG